rnacentral:rRNA from 1 species
CCUACGGGGGGCAGCAGUGAGGAAUAUUGGUCAAUGGCCGAGAGGCUGAACCAGCCAAGCCGCGUGAAGGACGAAGGUGCCAAGCAUUGUAAACUUCUUUUAUCAAGGGACAAAAUCAGGCUCGAGAGCCUGACCGAGGGUACUUGAUGAAAAAGCAUCGGCUAACUCCGUGCCAGCAGCCGCGGUAAUACGGAGGAUGCGAGCGUUAUCCGGAUUUAUUGGGUUUAAAGGGUGCGUAGGCGGUCUUUUAAGUCAGCGGUAAAAGCCCGGGGCUCAACCCCGGCUAGCGGUUGAAACUGGUGGUCUUGAGAUGUCGAGAGGUAGGGGGAAUGCGGAGGGUAGCGGGGAAAGGAUUAGAUA